rnacentral:lncRNA from 1 species
GUUUCCUGUCGCUGCUUGGUAACAAUGGGGAAGAUAAUGGCUGCCUGAGCAACGUCUCGGAGCAGGCGCUGGGGUAGAGGCGGGUCUCAACCAGCGACUCAUCGGAGGCGGGCUUGAGAGAGGCGGCUGGGGAGGCGCGGAGAAGCCUCAGCGGAGACGGCCGAAACAACCGAGUGAGAUCCUGACCCUAAAACCGAAGCAGAGUGUGAAGAAAACUAAAAUCCAGUUUAUUGUAAUUCAAUACUAUGUCAUAACAGUCAGAUAA